GAGCAAGGUCGUCUUAUAAUCAGUGACGAUUAUUGCAUUGAAGGUUGGCUAUAUUGUUGAACAAAUUGCUACAUU